rnacentral:rRNA from 1 species
CAACCUCAGAUCAAGUAGGA